rnacentral:rRNA from 1 species
GAUGAACGCUGGCGGCGUGCCUAACACAUGCAAGUCGAACGAACCUGAUCUUCGGAAAAGGUUAGUGGCGCACGGGUGAGUAACACGUAGGUGACCUGCCCUGGAGUGGGGGAUAACUUCUCGAAAGAGAGGCUAAUACCGCAUACGCUCGGCCAUUCAGUUGGUCGAGUAAAGCUCCGGCGCUCCAGGAGGGGCCUGCGUCCGAUUAGCUAGUUGGUGAGGUAAUGGCUCACCAAGGCGAUGAUCGGUAGCUGGUCUGAGAGGACGAUCAGCCACACUGGCACUGACACACGGGCCAGACUCCUACGGGAGGUAGCAGUGAGGAAUAUUGGUCAAUGGGCGAAAGCCUGAACCAGCAACGCCGCGUGUGUGAAGAAGGCCUUAUGGUUGUAAAGCACUUUAAGCGAGGAGGAGGCUACUGAGACUAAUACUCUUGGAUAGUGGACGUUACUCGCAGAAUAAGCACCGGCUAACUCUGU